AGCAAUGGAGAGAUAAAAAUUUGUUUUCGAACGCACGGCCGGAACUAAUUUAAUUCGGCGUACUUCGCGUCAUGCGAACGCGGCUUCAUUAAUAAUGCAGGACGCGUUAGCGCGACAAAAUGUAUAACCGAACGUAGGUGCGGCCUGUCAACGAUUGCGUCGGAAAUACAACACUGCCAACCCAUCAUUCGACCUGUUUGCAUCGACGAAAAGAAGCGAGACAAUACCGAUUCUUCUGACGCUUCGAACGCGCAGAUAUUCAAUCGCGUCAAAAUUAUCCGCCUUACUUCAACUGUAUAUGCUCGUAGCCUGUUACAGGAAGAUUUUUGGUCCUCUCAUUUCUAGUUUCUUACAAUAUAUAUAUUAUAUUUUUAUGCCUCC
rnacentral:misc_RNA from 1 species